rnacentral:rRNA from 1 species
GUAGGACCGUGUGGACUGGGGUAACGCCGCCUAUACCUGCUCUCCCACCACCACUCGUACCCCUUCUUCGUGCCAGCCAGCGGCAAAGACCUACGACACUAGUGAGGAAGAUAGAGGAUGUGUGUCGAGGCUCGAUGGUUGGGCUCGGACGCGGUCGCGUGCUCGUGCAGGUACUGGUCACGCGUCAGUGUCAGGGAGUAACGACUCGCCUUGAGACGGAUGUACCUCAUGUGUGCAGUCCUCUGGUACCACACCGUGCUCUCGGAAGUACGUAUGGUAGUCGUCUCCCUAGCGUACAACGUUGUGAAGGAACUCCUUUACCGCCGGCCGUCCCAAGGAGUUAACGUUGGUCGUGGUAGAGGAGGUGGUGUUGGUCACGAAGAAUGAAAACUCCUCAAAGACUGUCUCUUGGGACCGGGGAGCGGCCAAUCAUGUAGAGUCUGAUAAGUGGGUUUCGUAUGACAAAUAAGUUGUGUUAGUAUAUAGGGGAAUUGUACAGAAAAGUUGUAGGUCCCUUGACCACCUAGAUGGCAACCACCACCACGACCAGAACCGUAGUGAGGGCUCAGUGCCUCGGGCCAGUGAGGAUAGGUGCCUCCGCCGCCGCCAGAACCGCCAUCGUGACGGCGAUCGUCACUACUGGAUCCGAAGCCGCCUGAACCGCCACUACUGGAACCGCCACCACCACCUACAGGACCGUGAAUUCGGAAACCCACUGCCACCACCACUAGUAUUUGAACACAAGAAAUCUACUGAACGCCAGAAAAU